UUUCUGCCCUAUCAACUUGUUGGUAAGGUCGUGGCUUACCAAGGUUGCAACGGGUAACGGGGAAUCAGGGUUCGAUUCCGGAGAGGGAGCCUGAGAAAUGGCUACCACAUCCAAGGGAGGCAACAGGCGCGAAAAUUACCCAAUCCAGACACUGGGAGGUGGCUACGAAAAAUACUGGGUCGUUUCCCUACGGGAUGCGACACCGGAAUGAGCACAAUUUAAGACAUUUGUCGAGUAACAACUGGAGGGCAAGUCUGGUGCCAGCAGCCGCGGUAAUUCCAGCUCCAGCAGCGAGUGUGAAUGUUGCUGCAGUUAAAACGCUCGUAGUUGAAUGAUGCGCGCCGGGCCACGGAGUGGAUCGCCCCUGCCAGCAAACUGGAGGCAGCCAGACGACUGGCCAGACUCAGUCUGCGUCGGCGCUCGCGUGCAGCCAGUGGCAGGGCGCGCCGUCCACCACCAUGUGGCUCUGCGCGGAUUAUCGUGAGAGUGCUGCAUGGCCUUCGCUGGCUGUGCAGCGCGUCUUGCGGAUUGUGCCUUGAGUAAAUCAGAGCGCUCACAGCAGGCAGCCGCCUGAAUGUAAUAGCAUGGCCCGAACCAAUCCAAGAAUUUCACCUCUCGCGGCCAAAUACUCAUGCCCCCAACCGCCCCUCUCAAUCACCACCACACAGCACCAACCACCAGGACGGAUGUUGGUUUCCGUCGUGGGGUGAUGAUUGAGAGGGGCGGUUGGGGGCAUUAGUAUUUGGCCGCGAGAGGUGAAAUUCUUGGACCGGCCAAGGACUAACAAAUGCAAAAGCAUUUGCCAAGACCGUUCCCGUUGAUCAAGAGCGAUAGUGAGAGGUUCGAAGACGAUCAGAUACCGUCCUAGUUCUCACCGUAAACGAUGCCAACCCGGGAUCAGUUUUGAGCUACUAUUUUAUAUGCAUGCUCGCGGUUGGUCCCCCA
rnacentral:rRNA from 1 species